rnacentral:rRNA from 1 species
GACGAACGCUGGCGGCGUGCUUAACACAUGCAAGUCGAACGAUGAAACCUAGCUUGCUAGGUCGAUUAGUGGCGAACGGGUGAGUAACACGUGACUAACCUGCCCCUUUCUCUGGGAUAACGCUCCGAAAGGAGUGCUAAUACCGGAUACUCACAUCGAGGCACAUGCCUUGAUGUGGAAAGUUUUUCGGAAAGGGAUGGAGUCGCGGCCUAUCAGCUUGUUGGUGAGGUAACGGCUCACCAAGGCGACGACGGGUAGCCGGCCUGAGAGGGCGACCGGCCACACGGGGAAUGGGACACGGCCCAGACUCCUACGGGAGGCAGCGGUGGGGAAUAUUGCACAAUGGGCGCAAGCCUGAUGCAGCGACGCCGCGUGAGGGAUGAAGGUCUUCGGAUUGUAAACCUCUUUCAGUAGGGACGAAGCGAAAGUGACGGUACCUAAAGAAGAAGCACCGGCUAACUACGUGCCAGCCGCCGCGGUAA